rnacentral:misc_RNA from 1 species
GAUGAAGAACGUAGCGAAAUGCGAUAAGUAAUGUGAAUUGCAGAAUUCAGUGAAUCAUCGAAUCUUUGAACGCACAUUGCGCCCCUUGGUAUUCCGAGGGGCAUGCCCGUUCGAGCGUCAUUAUACCCCUCAAGCCUAGCUUGGUGUUGGGGCCUGCUGUUACCGGCAGCCCUUAAAAUCAGUGGCGGUGCCAUCUGGCUCUAAGCGUAGUAAUACUUCUCGCUACAGGGUCCCGGUGGAUGCUUGCCAUCAACCCCUAAUUUUCUAUGGUUGACCUCGGAUCGGGUAGGGAUACCCGCUGAACUUAAGCAUAUCAAUAAGCGGAGGA